AUUGAACGCUGGCGGCAGGCCUAACACAUGCAAGUCGAGCGGAUGACGGGAGCUUGCUCCUUGAUUCAGCGGCGGACGGGUGAGUAAUGCCUAGGAAUCUGCCUGGUAGUGGGGGACAACGUUUCGAAAGGAACGCUAAUACCGCAUACGUCCUACGGGAGAAAGCAGGGGACCUUCGGGCCUUGCGCUAUCAGAUGAGCCUAGGUCGGAUUAGCUAGUAGGUGAGGUAAUAGCUCACCUAGGCGACGAUCCGUAACUGGUCUGAGAGGAUGAUCAGUCACACUCGAACUGAGACACGGUCCAGACUCCUACGGGAGGCAGCAGUGGGGAAUAUUGGACAAUGGGCGAAAGCCUGAUCCAGCCAUGCCGCGUGUGUGAAGAAGGUCUUCGGAUUGUAAAGCACUUUAAGUUGGGAGGAAGGGCAGUAAGCGAAUACCUUGCUGUUUUGACGUUACCGACAGAAUAAGCACCGGCUAACUCUGUGCCAGCCGCCGCGGUAAAAC
rnacentral:rRNA from 1 species